CAUUCUCCUUGCUAUUUAUGGAAUAUCACGUAAAUUGGUGACAUACGAGACGAUCUCGGACCACGACGACAGUACGAAUUUAUCUGCGGAAGGACAGACGGUGAAUGGAGCUCGUUAACUAUCUGCAGAAAAGCAUUUCAUGGGAUUUAUAAAAGCGUCGCAUUGCACAUUCCUGAGAACCAGGUAUUUCGCUGGAGCUUUGAAGCCCGAGAAUGGCUUGACCGUUAAUCAAGGGACUUUAAUUAGGCGACCCAAAACUCUACGGAGAAGUAACCAGAUGAACUCACUGAACAUUCCAAAGAACUAGCAAACGUCUGUAAUACCAGCUCGUAGAAGAAAAUUUUGUUCCAACGCCGAAGUUCGUGAAUUUUCUUCCCUAUUUCCUGGUUUUUCGACAGUUUCAAGUGACAGUUUUGUCAAGAAAUUUGAAAUGAAUCGCAGCGUCGAAUUUAGGGUGUUGGGUUCACGCACCUGUGCUUUCGCAACAUUUCUCGCUGCUUGUUCUCGUUGCUUCCUUCAACCUCGACGAAGACCACGGCGCCGACGACGCUGUAGAGGAAGACUAUAAGGAACAGGAAAAUGUGGGUGAACCAUCUUUUACUCCAGGAGCUGACCUGCGAACGUGACACAAAAUUCGAUGAAGCUACAAACGAAGCAAUGGCAAAAACCUUUGUGCUAGAGAAAAGGGUUCGCGAACGAGUUGAAGAAACGAAAAAGACGUCCAAAUAUUUUCAUCAAGUUGAUUCUUGUGUCAAGAUUGUGAAGAAAUUUGGAGAUGUUUAUAUUGUAUCAGGGCAACAUUUUAUGAGUAAGUACUUGAAAUUAAAAUUUACACAAAUAUUAUGCGAGCCUUUCGAAUAUUUUAUUGGAAAAUCCAUGUGAAUCCAACCAACGUUCGAACCUCACCACCUUUGAUGUUUUUCAAAAAUUUUUUGAAUGAUUAUUUAUAAAUAUUGCG